rnacentral:rRNA from 1 species
UACGAAGGGGGCUAGCGUUGCUCGGAAUCACUGGGCGUAAAGCGCACGUAGGCGGAUUCUUAAGUCAGGGGUGAAAUCCUGGAGCUCAACUCCAGAACUGCCUUUGAUACUGGGAGUCUCGAGUCCGGGAGAGGUGAGUGGAACUGCGAGUGUAGAGGUGAAAUUCGUAGAUAUUCGCAAGAACACCAGUGGCGAAGGCGGCUCACUGGUCCGGUACUGACGCUGAGGUGCGAAAGCGUGGGAGCAACAG